UACGUAGGUGGCAAGCGUUGUCCGGAUUUACUGGGCGUAAAGGGCGUGCAGGCGGUUUGUUAAGGUCAGGGUGAAAGCUCCCGGCUUAACUGGGAGAGGUCAACGGAAACUGCUAGGCUAGAGUGCGGUAGAGGUAGCUGGAAUUCCCGGUGUAGCGGUGGAAUGCGUAGAUAUCGGGAGGAACACCAGUGGCGAAGGCGGUUACCUGGAGCUUUGCUGACGCUGAUGCGCGAAAGCGUGGGGAGCGAUCCGG
rnacentral:rRNA from 1 species